GAUGGAGGAAGGUGGGGAUGACGUCAAAUCAUCAUGCCCCUUAUGAUCUGGGCUACACACGUGCUACAAUGGCCGGUACAACGGGCAGCGAAGGAGCGAUCCGGAGCGAAUCUUAAAAGCCGGUCCAGUUCGGAUUGCAGGCUGAAACUCGCCUACAUGAAGUUGGAGUUGCUAGUAAUCGCGAAUCAGAAUGUCGCGGUGAAUGCGUUCCCGGGUCUU
rnacentral:rRNA from 1 species